UUUUUGGCUUCGCUGUUCAUUAGGCGCAUGAAUCCACAGAAGAAAAACUUUGCUGGCAAGAACUCAGCCAGUGGUUCGAGUUCUCUGCAAACAAAUCUGUGGUCUCUUUGUUUGCUAUAGACCUCUUGUUUCUAGUGAAAGAAAAGUUCUUUUUUUAUUGCAGAAAGAAGUCAGAAACAGGACAGAGAGAUUGAGAAAGUAAAGUGAUGAUUUAUUUAAGCAAGAAAACACUCCCAGAGGGAGAGCAAGCAGACAGUAGAAGCUAAAGGUACACUCCACAGAACAUCAUGCUGGUUCAGCUGGUGAAUGACAUCAAUCAAACUAGUGAGCGUGAAGUGGGAAAAGCUCUGGAUGCUCUGAGUUAACAAAAAGGAAGCAAAGAUUAUAAACUCUGUGACAAUGGGAUCCGACUGGUCUUCUAGCACCGAAGACAGUGACUGGUAUAAAAGCUCUCGAGAACCAUCUAAUGCAAGAGAAUACGUGGAAGAAUGCACUACGUGGCUUAACUAAGGUAAAAAAAUGAAUAAAUGACAGGGCUAGGGCUUGACCAUAUAUCUUAGAGUUUCAAGAAUAAGGUCUUAUUUCUUGGUUUUUGUGCUGUUUUGUUUUUGUUUUUUGCCUAUUCGUUCGUAGUUGUCCCACCUCUUCUGUUUUCUCCUGUCUGCUCUGCCCUCAAUAGAUGCUCAUGAAUUCUUUUAAAGAUAUGUAUGCAGUAUAUUUCCCCUUUUAGUUUUAAACACUCUUAGCCAUUAAAAAUAGCUGGAAAACAAA